rnacentral:rRNA from 1 species
UACGUAGGGUGCGAGCGUUGUCCGGAAUUACUGGGCGUAAAGAGCUCGUAGGUGGUUUGUCGCGUUGUCCGUGAAAACUCACAACUCAAUUGUGGGCGUGCGGGCGAUACGGGCAGACUGGAGUACUGCAGGGGAGACUGGAAUUCCUGGUGUAGCGGUGAAAUGCGCAGAUAUCAGGAGGAACACCCGUGGCGAAGGCGGCUCCUCUGGAACGCAAC